rnacentral:tRNA from 1 species
ACUACUUUAUUCGUAACUGGGUUUUUCUUUAUGGACUCACUUGCUGGGGUUGACCUUCGACUAUU